rnacentral:rRNA from 1 species
GAUGAACGCUAGCGGCAGGCUUAACACAUGCAAGUCGAGGGGUAUAGUUCUUCGGAACUAGAGACCGGCGCACGGGUGCGUAACGCGUAUGCAAUCUACCUUUUGCAGAGGGAUAGCCCAGAGAAAUUUGGAUUAAUACCUCAUAGUAUGUGAGAAUGGCAUCAUUUUCACAUUAAAGUCACAACGGCAAAAGAUGAGCAUGCGUCCCAUUAGCUUGUUGGUGAGGUAACGGCUUACCAAGGCAACGAUGGGUAGGGGUCCUGAGAGGGAGAUCCCCCACACUGGUACUGAGACACGGACCAGACUCCUACGGGAGGCGGCAGUGAGGAAUAUUGGACAAUGGGCGCAAGCCUGAUCCAGCCAUGCCGCGUGCAGGAUGACGGUCCUAUGGAUUGUAAACUGCUUUUGUACAGGAAGAAACACUGGUUCGUGAACCAGCUUGACGGUACUGUAAGAAUAAGGAUCGGCUAACUCCGUGCCAGCAGCCGCCGCCGUAA